GACGAACGCUGGCGGCGUGCCCUAAAUACAUGCAAGUAGAACGCUGAGGUUUGGUGUUUUACACUAGACUGAUGAGUUGCGAAACGGGUGAGUAACGCCGUAGGUAACCUGCCUCAUAGCGGGGAUAACUAUUGGAACGAUAGCUAAUACCGCAUAAGAGUAAUUAACACAUGUUGGUUAUUAAAAAGGAGCAAAUUGCUUCACUGUGAGAUGGACUGCGUUGUAUUAGCUAGUUGGGUGAGGUAAAGGCUCACCAAGGCGACGAUACAUAGCCGACCCUGAGAGGGGUGAUCGGCCACACUGGGACUGAGACACGGCCCAGACUCCUACGGGAGGCAGCAGUAGGGAAUCUUCGGCAAUGGACGGAAGUCUGACCGAGCAACGCCGCGUGAGUGAAGAAGGUUUUCGGAUCGUAAAAGCUCUGUUGUUAGAGAAGAACGUUGGUAGGAGUGGAAAAUCUACCAAGUGACGGUAACUAACCAGAAAGGGACGGCUAACUACGUGCCAGCAGCCGCGGUAAU
rnacentral:rRNA from 1 species